rnacentral:lncRNA from 1 species
CUGCAGAAGGUGUUUAUACAUUUUGGAGAUGAAUCCAUUGUCAGUUGAUUCACUUGUAAAGAUUUUCUCCCAUUCUGUGGGUUGUCUUUUUGUUUUGUUUAGGGUUUCCCUUGCUGUGCAGAAGCUUUUAUGUUUGAUUAGGUCCCAUUUGUUUAUUUUUGUUUUUAUUGUCAAUACUCUAAGAGGUGGAUCUGAAAGAUGUUGCUGUCGUUUAUAUCAGAGAGUGUUUGGCCUAUGUUUUCCUCUAAGAGUUUGAUAGUGUCUGGUCUUAUAUCUAGGUCUUUAAUCCAUGUGGAGUUUAUUUUUGUGUAUAGUGUUAGAGAGUGUUCUGACUUCAUUCUUUUCCAUGUGGCUGUCCAGUUUUCCCAGCACCACUUAUUGAACAAGCUGUCCUUUCCCCAUUGGAUAUUCUUGCCUCCUUUGUCAUAGAUGUGUUGGCUGUAGGUGUGUGGGUUUAAUUAUGGGGUUUCUAUUCUGUUCCACUGAUCUAUAUUUCUGUCUUUGUGCCAGGACCAUACAGUUUUGAUGAUUGUUUCUUUGUAGUAUAGUCUGAAGUCCGGGAGCCUGAUUCCUCCAGCUCCAUUUUUCUUUUUCAGGAUGUCUUUGGCUAUUCUGGGUCUUUUGUGCUUCCAAACAAACUUUGAAAUAUUUUGUUCGAGUUCUUUGAAAAAUGUCCUUGGUAAUUUGAUAGGGAUUGUGUUGAAUCUGUAGAUUGCCUUAGGUAGUAUAGUCAUUUUGAUAAUGUAAACUCUUCCAACCCCCGAGCAUGGUAUAUUUUUCCAUCUCUUUGUGUCAUCUUUGAUUUCUUUCAUCAGUGGCUUAUAGUUUUCAGAGUACAGGUCUUUUGUCUCUUUAGGUAGGUUUACUCCUAGGUAUGUUAUUCUUUUGGAUGCAAUGGUAAAUGGGAUUGCUUCCCUAAUUUCUCUUUCUGCUCUUUCAUUGUUAGUGUAUAGAAAUGCUAUCAAAUUCUGUGUAUAAAUUUUGUAUCCUGCGACUUUGCCAAAUUCAUGGAUGAGCUCUAACAGUUUUCUGGUAGAGUCUUCAGGCUUCUCUAGGUAUAGUAUCAUGUCAUCUGCAAAUAGUGAAAGUUUUACUUCUUCCUUUCCAAUUUAGAUUCCUUUUAUUUCUUUUACUUCUCUGAUUGCCAUGGCUAGGACCUCCAAAACUAUGUUGAAGAGUAGUGGUGAGAGUGGACAUCCUUGUCUUGUUCCUGAUCUCAGCAGGAAUUCUUUCAGCUUUUCACCAUUGAGAAGGAUGUUUGCUGUGGGUUUGUCAUAUAUGGCCUUUAUUGUUUUGAGGUCGGUUCCCGUCAUUCCCACUUUCUGAAGGGUUUUUAUCAGAAAUGGGUGUUGGAUUUUGUCAAAGGCUUGUUCCGCAUUUAUUGAGAGGAUCAUAUGGUUUUUAUUGUUCAAUUUGUUAAUGUGGUGUAUCACACUGAUGGAUUUGUGGAUAUUGAAGAAUCUUUGCAUCCCUGGGAUAAAUCCACUUGAUCAUGAUGUACAAUCCUUUUAAUGUAUUGUUGGAUGCAGUUUCCUAGUAUUUUGUUGAGGAUUUUUGCAUUGAUGUUCAUCAGUGGAAUUGGCCUGUAAUUUUCUUUUUUGUGGUAACUUUGUCUGGUUUUGGUACCAGGGUGAUGGUGGCCUCAUAGAAUGAGUCUGGGAGUAUCCCUUCCUCUGCAAUUUUUUGAAAUAGUUUCAGAAGGAUAGGUGUUAUCUCUUCUCUAAAUGUUUGAUAGAAUUCUCCUGUGAAGCCAUCUGGUCCUGGACUUUUGUUUGUUGGAAGUUUUUUAAUCACAGUUUCCAUUUCAGUUCUUGUGAUUGAUCCAUUCAUCUUUUCUAUUUCGUCUUGGUUUAGUCUUAGAAGAAUUGCUUUUCUAAGAAUUUGUCCAUUUCUUCUAAGUUUUCCGUUUUAUUGGCAUAUAGUUGCAUAUAGUAGUCUCUUGUGAUCCUUUGUCUUUCUGUGAUGUCCCUUGUUACUUCUCCUUUUUCAUUUCUAAUUUUAUUGAUUUGAGUCCUAUCUUUUUUUUUUGCUUGAUAAGUCUGACUAAAUGUUUUUCAAUUUUGUUGAUCUUUUCAAAGAACCAGUUUUUUGUUUCAUUGAUCUUUUCUAUGGAUUUCUUAUUUUCUAUUUCAUUGAUUUCUGUUCUGAUCUCUAUGAUUUCUUUCCUUCUGCUAACUUUAGGUCUUUUCUGUUCUCUCUCGAGCUGCUUUAGAUGUAAAGUUAGCUUGUUUCUUUGAGCUUGUUCUUGUUUCCUGAGGUGGGCUUGUAUUGCUAUAAACUUUCCUCUUAGAAUGGCUUUUGAAAAGGACAAAUCAACAAUAACAUAAUAAUAGUAGGGGACUUUAACACCCCACUUACAGCUAUGGACAGAUCAACAAGACAGAAAAUCAAUAAGGAAACACAGGCCCUGAAUGAUGCAUUAAACCAGAUGGACAUUUAUAAGACAUUCUAUCCAAAAGCAAUAGAAUACACAUUCUUCUCAAGUGCACAUGGAACAUUCUCUAAGUUAUCACAUCCUGGGCUACAAAUCCAACCUUUGUAACUUUAAGAAAAUUGAAAUCAUAUCAAGCAUCUUUUCUGACCACAAUGCUAUACAACUGGAAAUCAACAAGAAAAAUUCUGCAAAAAAACACAAACACGUGGAGACUCAACAACAUGAUACUAAACAACCAAUGGAUCACUGAAGAAAUAAAAGAGGAAAUCAAAAAAUACCUAGAAGCAAAUGACCACAAAGAUAUGACACUCCAAAGGUGUCUUGUUUUAUGUUUAAGUCUUUAAGCCAAUUUGAGUUUGUUUUUGUGUAUGGUGUGAAAGUGCUUCCCAGUUUCAUUGAUUUACAGGCAGCUGCCCAGUUUUGCCAGCACCACUUGCUGAAGAGACUGUCUACUUCCAAUUUUAUAUUCUUGCCCCUUUUGUUGAAGAUUAAUUGACCAUAGGCUUCUGGGUUUAUUUCUGGGUUCUCUGUUCUGUUCCGUUGGUCUGUAUGUCUGUUUUGGUACCAGUACUAUACUGUUUUGAUUACUAUAGCUUUGUAAUAUUGUUUAAAGUCUGGGAGAGUCAUGCCUCCUGCUUGGAUUUUGCUCCUCAGAUUGCUUUGGCAAUUCUGGGUUUUUAUGGUUCCAUAUAAAUUGUGGUGGUGGUGUUGUAGUUCUGUAAAAAAUGUCAUGGGUAAAUUGAUAGGGAUAGCAUUGAAUCUGUAGACUGCUUUGGGUAGUAUGGCCAUUCUUAAAAUAUUAAUUCUUCCAAUCCAGGAGCUUGGAAUAUCUUUCCAUUUCUUUGAAUCCUCUUUAAUUUCCUUAAUUAAUAUUUUAUAGUUUUCAACAUAUAGGUCUUUCACCUUCUUUGUCAGGUUUAUUCCUAGGUAUUUAAUUUUUGGGGGGUGAAAUUUCAAAGGGUAUUGUAAUUUUAUAUUCCUUUUCCAAUACUUCAUUGUUAGUAUACAGAAAUGCAACCAAUUUCUUAAUGUUAAUCCUACAUCCUGCUACUUUUCUGAAUUUGUUGAUCAGUUUUGAGUAGUUUUUGUGUGGAGUCCUUAGGGUUUUCUGUAUAUAUAGUAUCAAGUCAUCUGCAUACAGUAACAAUUGUACCUCUUCCCUUCCAAUUUGGAUAGUUUUAUUUCUUUUAUUUGUCUGAUUGCUGUGGCUGGUUCUUCCAAUACUAUGUUGAAUAAAAAUGGUGAAAGUGGUGAAAGGCUUUCAGCUUCACUCUGUUGAGUUUUAUAUUGGCUGUGAGUGUGUCAUAAAUGACUUAUAUUAUGACAAGUUAUGUUCUCUCUGUACCCACUUUGGUAAGAAUUUUUAUCAUGAAUGUAUGUUAGAUUUUGUAAAAAGCUUUCUUUGCAUCUAUUGAGAUGAUCAUCUGGUUUUCAGCUUUUUUUAAUGUGGUUUAUGACAUUGAUUGAUUUGCAUAUGCUGAACCAUUCCUGUUAACUUGGUCAUGGUGUAUUAUUGUUUUUAUCUGUUGUUGGAUUGGGUUGGCUAAAAUUAUGCUGAGAAUUUUUGCAUCUAUAUUCAUCAUAGAUAUUGGCCUAUAAUUUUCUUUUUUGGCAGUAUCUUUAUCUGGUUUUAGUAAUAGAGUGAUUGUGACUUAAGAGAAGUCUUAGGGAGUAUUCCUUCUUCAACAUUUUUGGAGAAUUUAAGAAGAAUGGGUAUAAGUUCUUCUGUGUAUGUUUGGUAGAUUUCACCUGCAAAGCCAUGUAGCCCUGGGCUUUUGUAUGUAGGGAGUGUUUUUAUUAAAUACUCAAUUGUAUUUCUAGUGAUCAGUCUGUUCAAUUGAUAUAUUUCUUUUUGAUUCAAUUUUGGUGGUCUGUAUGUCUCUAGAAAGUUGUCCAUUUCUUCUAGGUUUUCAAAUUUGUUGGCACAUAAUUGUUCACAGUAUUCUCAUGUUUUUUGCUAUUUCUGCAGUAUCCAUUGAGAUUUCUCCUUUUUUUGUUUCUUAUUUUGUUUAUUUGAGUUCUUUCUCCCCUCUUACUGAUGAGUCUGGCUACAGGGUUGUCAAUUUUGUUUACCCUUUCAAAGUACCAGCUUUUGGUUUUAUUGAUUUUUUUCUAUUUUUCAAAUCGCAAUUUUAUUGAUUUACUCUCUGAUCUUUAUGAUUUCCUUCUUUUUACUGACUUUAGGUUUUGUUUGUUCUUAUUUUCCUAAUUCUUUUAGGGGGGGAGGUUAAGUUGUUGAUUUGAGAUUUUCCUUCUUUUUUCAGGAAGACGUAUACUGCUAUAAACUUCCCUCUAAGUACUGCUUUGGUGGCAUCCGAUAGAUUUUGAAUUUUUGUGUUUCAUUAUCAUUUUUCUUGAGAUAUUUUUAAACUUCCCUUUGGAUUUCCUCUUGACCCCUUGGUUUUUUAGUAGCAUUUUAAAUCUCCGUGUAGUUGUUUUUUCUCUCAUUUCUCUCCCUGUUUUAUUUCUAGUGUCAUGUAGUUGUGGUCAGAGAAGAUACUUGAAAUAAUUUGUAAGCUCAAAUUUUUUGAGGUUAGUUUUGUGCCCCAGUACGUGGUCAGUCCUUGAGAAUAUUCCAUGUGCACUUCAAAUAAUAUAUAUUCUGAUUUUUUUUGGAUGUAAUGUCCUGAAAAUAUCAAUUAAGUCUAAAUGUUCUACUGUGUCAUUUAGGAUCUCUAUGGCCCUUAUUGCUUUUCUGUUCAGAGGAUCUGUCCAUUGAUGUGAGUGGAGUGCUAAAGUCUCCUACUAUGAUUGUAUUCCCAUCAAUUUCUCCUAUUAUGUCUGUUAGUAUUUGUUGUGUGAAUUUGUGUGUGCCUAUAUCAGGGGCAUAUAUUGACAAGUGUAAUAUCCUUUUAUUAUUAAUAGUGUCAUUAUUUGGCUUUCCUUAUAGCCUUUGUUUUAAUGUCUAUUUUGUCUGAUAUGAGUAUUGCAACUCCUGCUUUCCUGUCUUUUCCAAUGGUGUGAAAUAUCUUUUUCUAUCCCCUUGCUUUAAAUUUAUAUUUGUCUUUGCCCCAAGAUGAGUCUCCUGAAGGCAACAUAUUAUAGGCUCUUUUUUCCUUAUACUGUCUGCCACUCUUGGUCUUUUGCUUAGAACAUUUAGUCCAUUGACAUUUAAGGUGAUUAUUGAUAACAUGUAUUUUUGCCAUUUUAAACCUUAUUUUUUCAGGUGCUCCUGUGUUUGUCCUUUUUUCCUUUCUUUUUAUGGUUCAGUGAUUUCCUUUUAUUUUAUGCUUCUGUCCUCUUCUUUUAGUAUUUGUGAAUGUAUUAUUUGGUUUUGAUUUGUGGUUACCCUGUUUUUAAAGUAUGUUAACCCCUUCCUGCAUCUGCUUGCUACAGCCUGAUAGUCAUAUAGGCUCAAAUC